GUAACCAUCUUCAUCAAGUCUAGCAGCAUCUCCGGUCUUGAAGAAACCACCAUCAAUAAACGAUUCUUUGGUAACCUCAGGAAGCUUCCAAUAUUCUUUAAACAUUGAAGGACUUCUAAUGCACAGCUCACCCUCCAAGCUUGAAUCAUUAAUACUCCCAUCAUCUGCAACAAUCUUGGCCUCCACGCCAGGGAAGGGUUUGCCAACAGUUCCAAUCUUUCUCUGACCAUUUAAAGGAUUUGAAAUUGCCAUGACAAAUUCGGUCAUACCAUAUCGUUCCAAAAGUUCGUGGCCAGUU
rnacentral:misc_RNA from 1 species